UACGGGGGGAGCAAGCGUUGUUCGGAUUUACUGGGCGUAAAGGGCGCGUAGGCGGCCACCGCAAGUCGAUUGUGAAAUCUCCGGGCUUAACCCGGAAAGGUCGACCGAUACUGCGGGGCUAGAGUGCAGAAGGGGCAACUGGAAUUCUCGGUGUAGCGGUGAAAUGCGUAGAUAUCGAGAGGAACACCUGCGGCGAAGGCGGGUUGCUGGGCUGAUACGUGACGCUGAGGCGCGAAAGCCAGGGGAGCGAACGGG
rnacentral:rRNA from 1 species